rnacentral:rRNA from 1 species
UACGGGGGGAGCAAGCGUUGUUCGGAUUUACUGGGCGUAAAGGGCGCGUAGGCGGCCUCUGCAAGUCGACUGUGAAAUCUCCGGGCUUAACCCGGAAAGGUCAGCCGAUACUGCAGGGCUAGAGUGCAGAAGGGGCAACUGGAAUUCUCGGUGUAGCGGUGAAAUGCGUAGAUAUCGAGAGGAACACCUGCGGCGAAGGCGGGUUGCUGGGCUGACACUGACGCUGAAGUGCGAAAGCUAGGGGAGCGGACGGG